rnacentral:sRNA from 1 species
AACCCCUGGCUAUGCCGGGGGUUCAAAAGAGCUUCAAGCGUGGUAUUAAAAAAACCUCACUUCCAUGGUAGGAUAAAGUUGGUUUCCCGACCGCUUCAUCUCACCAAAGAAGGAGGU